rnacentral:tRNA from 1 species
AUUCAAAUAGUUUAAUAAAAUAUUGGGGUGUGGUACCAGAGAUAUAGGAGAAUCCGAUUUUGAAUA